rnacentral:misc_RNA from 1 species
AACUGAUACUACCUGCGGGAACCUGCGGAGGGAUCAUUACCGAGUUUACAACUCCCAAACCCCUGUGAACAUACCACUUGUUGCCUCGGCGGAUCAGCCCGCUCCCGGUAAAACGGGACGGCCCGCCAGAGGACCCCUAAACUCUGUUUCUAUAUGUAACUUCUGAGUAAAACCAUAAAUAAAUCAAAACUUUCAACAACGGAUCUCU